rnacentral:lncRNA from 10 species
GAUUCUCUACUAGUCUCCUCCAGUUGUAGAAAGCUCCCUGGCAAGGGAUGCAGAGCUCUUUAAAUCUGGAAGUGCUAGUCAGGUGUUUGACCAGUCAGGUGAAACUAGUCUUUAAACCUUAAUGACCCGGAUUAGCCAUCUUGAGACCAACAGCUGAUAUCACUGACAGUGGCCAAGACACAAUGCAAGGUGGUGCAUGACCUAAGCCCUCGUCAAGCUAUGGUCAAUGCAUGGCCCAGACUUAAUGGCCUGUGACUUCAGGAAUAGUCGCAUGCACUCUAUUUUCAGGCGAUAUGUGUCCCACUUUGGGAUUAUCUCACAGUUAAUACAGAUGGAAAAGUCUAUUGGGUGCCCAUACAAAUAUUCUGGUCUAGUUUCUAGUUCUC